AUGAAAAUGCCUACUUCUCAGAACCGUUGCAAGCCCCUCGUUGGGUUGCGUAGCUCCAGGAUUUGGUUUCCAGACCCAUGUGCCUUACUCGGACAACUUGGAGAACGAAACAGGGCAAGACAUACGCCGAACUGGGUCGGAUACAUGAAUAGGAAGAUCCUGGGCAAACAGGAACAUGUGGUCAUCUUGCUCUACGAUGGUGUCAUCUGGCCUGCUGGACUGGGCCUUGCCCCUGGAACAGGCCAGCUGAAUGAAGCUCGCACUCUCCUGGACCUUUCUCGUUUAGGUGUUCGGUGGGAGGCAGUCAGUUCUGAAUCGUGGUCUCUUAAUGAUGGCGGACGUGCCUCAAAGCCAGUGAUGCCAAUAAGCCUUCAAAAGAGAACUCCUCAGAGCAGAGCUGCAAUGGCCAACCUGGUCCAGACCCUGUGUGUUUCCUGA
rnacentral:lncRNA from 12 species